AGUGAACGCUGGCGGUAGGCCUAACACAUGCAAGUCGAACGGCAGCACAAGAGAGCUUGCUCUCUGGGUGGCGAGUGGCGGACGGGUGAGGAAUACAUCGGAAUCUACUCUGUCGUGGGGGAUAACGUAGGGAAACUUACGCUAAUACCGCAUACGACCUACGGGUGAAAGCAGGGGACCUUCGGGCCUUGCGCGAUUGAAUGAGCCGAUGUCGGAUUAGCUAGUUGGCGGGGUAAAGGCCCACCAAGGCGACGAUCCGUAGCUGGUCUGAGAGAAUGAUCAGCCACACUGGAACUGAGACACGGGCCAGACUCCUACGGGAGGCAGCAGUGGGGAAUAUUGGACAAUGGGCGCAAGCCUGAUCCAGCCAUACCGCGUGGGUGAAGAAGGCCUUCGGGUUGUAAAGCCCUUUUGUUGGGAAAGAAAUCCAGCUGGCUAAUACCCGGUUGGGAUGACGGUACCCAAAGAAUAAGCACCGGCUAACUUCGUGCCAGCAGCCGCCGUAA
rnacentral:rRNA from 1 species